rnacentral:rRNA from 1 species
UACAGAGGGUGCGAGCGUUAAUCGGAAUUACUGGGCGUAAAGCGUGCGCAGGCGGUUGAUUAAGACAGGCGUGAAAUCCCCGGGCUUAACCUGGGAACUGCGCUUGUGACUGGUCAGCUAGAGUACGGCAGAGGGGGGUGGAAUUCCACGUGUAGCAGUGAAAUGCGUAGAGAUGUGGAGGAACACCGAUGGCGAAGGCAGCCCCCUGGGCCGAUACUGACGCUCAUGCACGAAAGCGUGGGUAGCAAACAGG